rnacentral:rRNA from 1 species
GAUGAACGCUGGCGGCGUGCCUAAUACAUGCAAGUCGAGCGAACGGACGAGAAGCUUGCUUUUCUGAUGUUAGCGGCGGACGGGUGAGUAACACGUGGAUAACCUACCUAUAAGACUGGGAUCACUUCGGGAAACCGGAGCUAAUACCGGAUAAGAUUUUGAACCGCAUGGUUCAAAAGAGAAAGACGGUCUUGCUGUCACUAAUAGAUGGAUCCGCGCUGCAUUAGCUAGUUGGUAAGGUAACGGCUUACCAAGGCAACGACGCAUAGCCGACCUGAGAGGGUGAUCGGCCACACUGGAACUGAGACACGGUCCAGACUCCUACGGGAGGCAGCAGUAGGGAAUCUUCGGCAAUGGGCGAAAGCCUGACGGAGCAACGCCGCGUGAGUGAUGAAGGUCUUCGGAUCGUAAAACUCUGUUAUUAGGGAAGAACAGAUGUGUGAUUAACUGUGCACAUCUUGACGGUACCUAAUCAGAAAGCCACGGCUAACUACGUG